rnacentral:rRNA from 1 species
AUACGGAGGAUGCGAGCGUUAUCCGGAUUUAUUGGGCGUAAAGGGAGCGUAGGUGGGAUAUUAAGUCAGCUGUGAAAGUUUGGGGCUCAACCUUAAAAUUGCAGUUGAUACUGGUUUCCUUGAGUACGGUACAGGUGGGCGGAAUUCGUGGUGUAGCGGUGAAAUGCUUAGAUAUCACGAAGAACUCCGAUCGCGAAGGCAGCUCACCGGGCCGGAACUGACACUGAUGCUCGAAAGUGCGGGUAUCAAACAGGAUUAGAUACCCUGGUAGUCCGCACAGUAAACGAUGAAUACUCGCUGUUUGCGAUACACUGUAAGCGGCCAAGCGAAAGCGUUAAGUAUUCCACCUGGGGAGUACGCCGGCAACGGUGAAACUCAAAGGAAUUGACGGGG